UNUCUUACCAGAAAGGGACGGCUAACUACGUGCCAGCAGCCGCGNUAAUACGUAGGUCCCGAGCGUUGUCCGGAUUUAUUGGGCGUAAAGCGAGCGCAGGCGGUUAGAUAAGUCUGAAGUUAAAGGCUGUGGCUUAACCAUAGUACGCUUUGGAAACUGUUUAACUNGAGUGCAGAAGGGGAGAGUGGAAUUCCAUGUGUAGCGGUGAAAUGCGUAGAUAUAUGGAGGAACACCGGUGGCGAAAGCGGCUCUCUGGUCUGUAACUGACGCUGAGGCUCGAAAGCGUGGGGAGCGAACAGGAUUAGAUACCCUGGUAGUCCACGCCGUAAACGAUGAGUGCUAGGUGUUAGGCCCUUUCCGGGGCUUAGUGCCGCAGCUAACGCAUUAAGCACUCCGCCUGGGGAGUACGACCGCAAGGUUGAAACUCAAAGGAAUUGACGGGGGCCCGCACAAGCGGUGGAGCAUGUGGUUUAAUUCGAAGCAACGCGAAGAACCUUACCAGGUCUUGACAUCCCGAUGCCCGCUCUAGAGAUAGAGUUUUACUUCGGUACAUCGGUGACAGGUGGUGCAUGGUUGUCGUCAGCUCGUGUCGUGAGAUGUUGGGUUAAGUCCCGCAACGAGCGCAACCCUUAUUGUUAGUUGCCAUCAUUCAGUUGGGCACUCUAGCGAGACUGCCGGUAAUAAACCGGAGGAAGGUGGGGAUGACGUCAAAUCAUCAUGCCCCUUAUGACCUGGGCUACACACGUGCUACAAUGGCUGGUACAACGAGUCGCAAGUCGGUGACGGCAAGCUAAUCUCUUAAAGCCAGUCUCAGUUCGGAUUGUAGGCUGCAACUCGCCUACAUGAAGUCGGAAUCGCUAGUAAUCGCGGAUCAGCACGCCGCGGUGAAUACGUUCCCGGGCCUUGUACACACCGCCCGUCACACCACGAGAGUUUGUAACACCCGAAGUCGGUGAGGUAACCUUUUAGG
rnacentral:rRNA from 1 species